rnacentral:rRNA from 1 species
UACAGAGGUCUCAAGCGUUGUUCGGAUUCAUUGGGCGUAAAGCGCACGCAGGCGGUCUGGCGCGUGGGGUGUGAAAUCUGGCCGCUUAACGGCCAGGCGCCAUCCCAUACGGCUAGACUGGAGGGCUGCAGAGGUCGAUGGAAUUGCCGGUGUAGUGGUGAAAUGCGUAGAGAUCGGCAGGAACACCCAGGGGGAAACCAGUCGACUGGGCAGCACCUGACGCUGAGGUGCGAGAGCGUGGGGAGCGAACCGG